rnacentral:rRNA from 1 species
GAUGAACGCUGGCGGCGUGCCUAAUACAUGCAAGUCGAGCGAACGGACGAGAAGCUUGCUUCUCUGAUGUUAGCGGCGGACGGGUGAGUAACACGUGGAUAACCUACCUAUAAGACUGGGAUAACUUCGGGAAACCGGAGCUAAUACCGGAUAAUAUUUUGAACCGCAUGGUUCAAAAGUGAAAGACGGUCUUGCUGUCACUUAUAGAUGGAUCCGCGCUGCAUUAGCUAGUUGGUAAGGUAACGGCUUACCAAGGCAACGAUGCAUAGCCGACCUGAGAGGGUGAUCGGCCACACUGGAACUGAGACACGGUCCAGACUCCUACGGGAGGCAGCAGUAGGGAAUCUUCCGCAAUGGGCGAAAGCCUGACGGAGCAACGCCGCGUGAGUGAUGAAGGUCUUCGGAUCGUAAAACUCUGUUAUUAGGGAAGAACAUAUGUGUAAGUAACUGUGCACAUCUUGACGGUACCUAAUCAGAAAGCCACGGCUAACUACGUGCCAGCAGCCGCGGUAAUACGUAGGUGGCAAGCGUUAUCCGGAAUUAUUGGGCGUAAAGCGCGCGUAGGCGGUUUUUUAAGUCUGAUGUGAAAGCCCACGGCUCAACCGUGGAGGGUCAUUGGAAACUGGAAAACUUGAGUGCGGAAGAGGAAAGUGGAAUUCCAUGUGUAGCGGUGAAAUGCGCAGAGAUAUGGAGGAACACCAGUGGCGAAGGCGACUUUCUGGUCUGUAACUGACGCUGAUGUGCGAAAGCGUGGGGAUCAAACAGGAUUAGAUACCCUGGUAGUCCACGCCGUAAACGAUGAGUGCUAAGUGUUAGGGGGUUUCCGCCCCUUAGUGCUGCAGCUAACGCAUUAAGCACUCCGCCUGGGGAGUACGACCGCAAGGUUGAAACUCAAAGGAAUUGACGGGGACCCGCACAAGCGGUGGGGCAUGUGGUUUAAUUCGAAGCAACGCGAAGAACCUUACCAAAUCUUGACAUCCUUUGACAACUCUAGAGAUAGAGCUUUCCCCUUCGGGGGACAAAGUGACAGGUGGUGCAUGGUUGUCGUCAGCUCGUGUCGUGAGAUGUUGGGUUAAGUCCCGCAACGAGCGCAACCCUUAAGCUUAGUUGCCAUCAUUAAGUUGGGCACUCUAAGUUGACUGCCGGUGACAAACCGGAGGAAGGUGGGGAUGACGUCAAAUCAUCAUGCCCCUUAUGAUUUGGGCUACACACGUGCUACAAUGGACAAUACAAAGGGCAGCGAAACCGCGAGGUCAAGCAAAUCCCAUAAAGUUGUUCUCAGUUCGGAUUGUAGUCUGCAACUCGACUACAUGAAGCUGGAAUCGCUAGUAAUCGUAGAUCAGCAUGCUACGGUGAAUACGUUCCCGGGUCU